rnacentral:ncRNA from 2 species
GAAAGAAGACCCUGUUGA